CGCGUAGGCGGCUUUAUAAGUCUGGAGUGAAAGUCCUCUUUUCAAGGGAGGAAUUGCUUUGGAAACUAUAGAGCUUGAGUGCAGGAGAGGUUAUCGGAAUUCCCGGUGUAGCGGUGAAAUGCGUAGAUAUCGGGAGGAACAUCGGUGGCGAAGGCGGGUAACUGGACUGCAACUGACGCUGAGGCGCGAAAGUGUGGGGAGCAAAC
rnacentral:rRNA from 1 species